AUGACCGGAUGGAAUUGUUUUAAAACAUUCCACGCCUCUCAUAAUCUUCCGUUUCCUUCGCUCGACGUCUUGACCCUGUCGAGCUUUAUCUCAUUCGCCCAUUCCAUCCUGAAGAUGAAAUCCACUACCAUCCAGGCCUACAUAAGCGGCAUCAACUUCUUCACCAGACUAACCUCCGGGGCUCCAUGCCAAGCCACUUCCCAUUCUCACAUAACGAUGCUAAUCAAAGGUCUCCGCAAGACAGAAGUCCAUACUCCACCAAAACGCUCGCCCCUAACCUCAGAUCUCCUCAUCCGAUGCAUCAGAACCCUCCGCUCAGGUUAUUCAUCUCCGUACGUCGACAAGGUCCUGGAAUCCAUGUUUCUUCUAGCAUUCUUCGGCUUUCUGCGCUGCUCUGAAUUCACGGCUUCUACCUCUAAAUACAACCCAUCUUGCCACGCAUCCAUUUCCGACAUCUCCAAUCCAUCCACCGACACCCUUAUUUACAACCUUAAAUGCAGCAAGACCAACCAGUCCGGUCCACCGCAACCCAUCUAUCUCUUCCGCCUAGACUCUUACAUCAGCCCUUUCGAACCGCUACAAGAAUACAUCAACUCUAGGCUAGCCAGCAGAGCCUCCCCCCAGGACCCUCUGUUCGUCACGGAAAUAGGAAAAAUAGCCACACGCCACUGGUUCCACCGUCACCCUCCGCCAAAUCCUGUUUCAAUCAGGAAUAUCCCCAGAUCUGUACUCAGGGCACUCCUUCCGCAUCGGAGCCGCCUCCUCCGCCUCCAAGCAGGGGGUCCCCGACCACGUAAUCAAAAUCCUUGGCCGAUGGUCUUCCCCCGCUUACCACACAUACAUCCGCAACGACGUAAACGACAUCAGAAACGCUCACGCACACCUGUCUCACUGAAGUUUCCUUGGGGGCUAACGAAGAGAUCGGAGGCGGCUCCCCCACUCAGCGUCUCCACACCCACUCCGUUCCUCCUGUUCCUCUCGCCAAACCUCCCCUUCCGUCCUCUCAUCCCACCAGCUUCUUUCCCUUCCUGUCAACCCUCACCCGUCCUUCCUAAACCCCCUCAUCCCUCGACCCUCGACCCCUUCCCCCAUCCCUCGACCCCUACCCCAUCAUCCCUUCAUCCUUCCAUCCCUCGACCCUUUCCUUCCCAGCAUCUAACAUGUGUCAUUAUGCUUAAUAAAUCCCUGUUUUCAUUCCAUACAGCUUUUGGCGUGGUCUUUGUUAGUGAAAUGAAGUUUUAUAACUAG
rnacentral:lncRNA from 1 species